AAGUGAAGAAAAAGGAUAAUUAAUCUUCUUUUACUUAUGGAACAUGCAUAGCAUUCCCAUAAGAACAUUGCAAGACCUCCAGCGAAUAAGGUUCUAUGUCAAACUUAAACCAGUACUAACUGAGAUGAUGAGCAUUUAUUAAAAGGUAAGACUUAUGUUACGGGUGCAUAUGAGCCAUUUUAUCCAGAUUAGCAUCAUGUAGAUUACGCCGUGACUAUAUAAUAAGAAGCUUGAUGAGAUUAAUACUUUUGCCUUUGGUGGUAAAGGGUAAGUUCUUUGGAGUUGCGCUACACAGUCUCUCUUUUGGUGCCUUUGGAAAGAAGGAAUGGUAGAACUUUAUGGGAUAAACCCUAACGAAGCUCGUACAGUGCACAUGAUCUUCAGCAGUCAAAUUUUCAGAAAACUUCAAAACUGGAGCAACAAAUGACGCUUUGCCUAUGAGUCCCACAUGGGAUCACCUCACAUCUAGACCAGACAAGCAGAACAAGCUCAAUCAGCUUCAAUGAGAAGAAAAAAAAACAUUCCAAAACACUUGCCGACAUGUAGCUAAUAAACUGAUGGAUAAAGCUAAAAGAACAGAGCUUAUUUGAUUAACUGUAUAAAGAAUGCACGUUUCUACAAAUGACCAAUAAGGAUGACCUAUUUUCAAAUUGAUUCAUAUGUUCGAGAGACUCGACCCAAAUGAAUGAAUAGAUUAUGGUGAA